CAUUGACCAGCUAAAAUACUGUGUCUAAGUUGUCAACAAACAAAACACAAAAAUAAAACCCAUGAGCCUUGGAACCCUAAAAAUUGUGAAAGGUAACACCAAAAAUCCUCCUUCAAAGCUUUCUUUCUCUGACUUGUUAAGGUUUAUUCUGAAGAAAAAAGCAUAGUUUUAUGACAAGAAGAAGCUUCACCGAUUUUUUUCUCCGAGGAAAUAAACCCAGGAAUCUCCAUGGCCGCAGAAGCCGCCGCCACCACCACCAAAUUCCAAAAUCCUGAUUUCCGCGCCGAUUUUCAUCCCGAUAUCGCGGUAAUGGCCCACGACGGCCUCCAUUUUUGGCAGUUCAUGAUCGCUGGUUCCAUUGCGGGUUCAGUCGAGCACAUGGCCAUGUUUCCAGUCGACACAAUCAAGACCCACAUGCAGGCUCUCGGUUCUUGCCCCAUUAAAUCUGUCAGUGUCACCCACGCUGUCCGUUCUAUACUCCAAUCUGAAGGUCCUAGUGCCUUCUACCGUGGUAUUGCCGCCAUGGGUCUCGGCGCCGGUCCCGCCCAUGCAGUGUAUUUCUCGGUUUACGAAGUCUGUAAGAAGUAUUUAUCUGGUAGCAAUCCAAACAAUUCAAUAGCUCACGCUGUAUCUGGUGUUUGUGCUACGGUGUGCAGUGAUGCUGUUUUUACGCCGAUGGAUAUGGUGAAGCAGAGAUUACAAUUGGGGAAUAAUACUUAUAAGGGGGUAUGGGAUUGUGUGAAGAGGGUUUUGAGAGAAGAGGGUUUUGGUGCGUUUUAUGCAUCUUAUAGGACUACUGUUUUGAUGAAUGCUCCGUUUACAGCUGUGCAUUUUGCAACUUAUGAGGCUACGAAAAGGGGAUUGAUGGAGAUUUCUCCUGAGAGUGCUAAUGAUGAGCGGUUGGUUGUUCAUGCCACUGCUGGAGCUGCUGCUGGAGCACUUGCAGCUUCUGUCACUACUCCACUUGAUGUAGUUAAAACUCAAUUGCAGUGUCAGGGUGUUUGUGGGUGUGAUAGAUUUAAAACUGGUUCAAUUGGUCAUGUGAUUCGGACAAUAGUUAAAAAGGAUGGUUACAGAGGGCUUAUGAGGGGUUGGAUUCCGAGGAUGCUUUUCCAUGCACCCGCUGCUGCAAUCUGCUGGUCUACAUAUGAAGCCUCAAAAGCAUACUUUCAGGAACUUAACGGUAACACUAAGAGUGGCACGGUUACCUGAAUAACAUGCAAAGAAGUGGGCAGUGGCAUUUGUAAUUUUCAUGUGCCUCACUAAUAAUGCUGUACAAGUAACAAGAAGUUUGCUUCACAAGAGGGAUGGUAAGCAAGGCAAAUGCACAAUCUUUUUCUGGUAUCAUCCCAUUCUAUUUAUUAGGCAUUAGUAGUCAAAUUGAUUGGUCAGAUAGAAUUAACUGUGUCGUACACAUUGUUGUCCAACAAUUUUAUAAGCGCAUUAUGUUGUUUUUCUUUAUCAAAUUGUGGGUUGCACAAAACCCCCCAUUAAUGCUGUGCAAUAUUUUUUUUCUUGGGAAGAAAUUUUUGGCUUUAUAAUGAUGGGGGGUUUUGAAUUGCAGCAAAAAGUUAUUAUUUUUGCUGGAUAUUUGAUAAUUAGUAGUUGUUAUUUGUUUUUGCUAAUUGUUCAUUCUUGUCAUGGAUUUUUCAUUUAAUCGAACUUCUGACUGUCUUGUGAUCCUCUCAAUGAAUGUGUAACC
rnacentral:misc_RNA from 1 species